UCCCGAUUAGCUCAAUUGGCAGAGCGUGAGACUUUUAAUCUCAAGGCUGGGGGUUCGACCCCCCCAUCGGGAG
rnacentral:tRNA from 1 species